CGUGGCGGCGACUUUGCAUGCGGAUGUCAUCCAUAUGAACUUUCGAUGCCAGUUUCUUCACCUACCAUGGUGACCACGGGUAAUGGGGAAUCAGGGUUCCAUUCUGUACAGGGAUCCUGAGAAAUGGCUACCACAUGCAAGGAAGGCAGCAGGCGCGCAAAUGACCCACUCCCGACGCGGGAAGGUAGUGACG